rnacentral:rRNA from 1 species
CAUGUCUUUUGAGUACCUUCGUUUCCUCGGCGGGUCCGCCCGCCGAUUGGACAACAUUCAAACCCUUUGCAGUUGCAAUCAGCGUCUGAAAAAACAUAAUAGUUACAACUUUCAACAACGGAUCUCUUGGUUCUGGCAUCGAUGAAGAACGCAGCGAAAUGCGAUAAGUAGUGUGAAUUGCAGAAUUCAGUGAAUCAUCGAAUCUUUGAACGCACAUUGCGCCCCUUGGUAUUCCAUGGGGCAUGCCUGUUCGAGCGUCAUUUGUACCUUCAAGCUCUGCUUGGUGUUGGGUGUUUGUCUCGCCUCUGCGUGUAGACUCGCCUUAAAACAAUUGGCAGCCGGCGUAUUGAUUUCGGAGCGCAGUACAUCUCGCGCUUUGCACUCAUAACGACGACGUCCAAAAGUACAUUUUUACACUCUUGACCUCGGAUCAGGUAGGGAUACCCCGCUGGAACUUAAGCAUAUCAAUAAGCGGAGGA